rnacentral:lncRNA from 8 species
AUGUGUCUGUCUAUCCCUGUUCUCUCCUCUCUGCACAGGCCAUACAAACGCAUCACACCGCGUGGCCGCUGCCACUCUAACCUGGUGGUCCCAGCGCGCACGACCCACGUGGAGUUCCAGGUCUCCGGCAGCCUCUGGAACUGCCGGUCUGCAGCCAACAAGGCUGAGUUCAUCUCAGCCUAUGCUACCCUCCAGUCCCUAGACUUCCUGGCGCUGACGGAAACAUGGAUUACCACAGAUAACACUGCUACUCCUACUGCUCUCUCUUCGUCUGCCCACGUGUUCUCGCAUACCCCUAGAGCAUCGAGCCAGCGGGGUGGUGGCACUGGAAUCCUCAUCUCUCCCAAGUGGACAUUCUCUCUUUCUCCCCUGACCCAUCUGUCUAUCUCCUCAUUUGAAUUCCAUGCUGUCACAGUUACCAGCCCUUUCAAGCUUAACAUCCUUAUCAUUUAUCGCCCUCCAGGUUCCCUUGGAGAGUUCAUCAAUGAGCUUGACGCCUUGAUAAGUUCCUUUCCUGAGGAUGGCUCACCUCUCACAGUUCUGGGUGACUUUAAUCUCCCCACGUCUACCUUUGACUCAUUCCUCUCUGCCUCCUUCUUUCCACUCCUCUCCUCUUUUGACCUCACCCUCUCACCUUCCCCCCCCCUACUCACAAGGCAGGCAAUACGCUUGACCUCAUCUUUACUAGAUGCUGUUCUUCCACUAAUCGCAUUGCAACUCCCCUCCAAAUCUCCGACCACUACCUUGUAUCAUUUUCCCUCUUGCUCUCAUCCAACACUUCUCACUCUGCCCCUACUCGGAUGGUAUUGCGCCGUCCCAACCUUCGCGCUCUCUCUCCCGCUACUCUCUCCUCUUCCAUCCUAUCAUCUCUUCCCUCUGCUCAAACCUUCUCCAACCUAUCUCCUGAUUCUGCCUCCUCAACCCUCCUCUCGUCCCUUUCUGCAUCCUUUGAUUUUCUCUGUCCCCUAUCCUCCAGGCCGGCUCGGUCCUCCCCUCCUGCUCCGUGGCUCGACGACUCACUACGAGCUCACAGAACAGGACUCCGGGCAGCCGAGCGGAAAUGGAGGAAAACUCGCCUCACUGCGGACCUGGCAUCCUUUCACUCCCUCCUCUCUACAUUCUCCUCUUCUGUCUCUGCAGCUAAAGCCACUUUCUACCACUCUAAAUUCCAAGCAUCUGCCUCUAACCCUAGGAAGCUCUUUGCUACCUUCUCCUCCCUCCUGA